CCGCUGUGAUGGGAAGAUUUUUCGUCAACAGCAUUUCACGGUGUGAAUGUUGAGUUCGGUGGGCUGAGCGG
rfam:Gallus gallus breed Red Jungle fowl, inbred line TCD001 Contig379.1, whole genome shotgun sequence. [11-NOV-2016]